AUGAAAACCCUUUUAAAGAAAAAACAUAACAAAAUUCUGUUUGCUCGUUUUUUUCCGCAAAAAUUAUGUUAUUUCCAUUACUGUAAACAAAAGAAUGCCAUAUCCGACAUUUGGGAUAAAAAGCAAAUUAUAACAAAAAAAUAUUUGAUUGAGCAUGAAGAUUAUAUUAUAAAUUGUUUAAAAAAUUCAGUUGAAAAUAAAAAUGAGUUAACUUUGGAUAAUAUAACACGAUUACUACAAGGGUGUAGUAAAAACAAAUAUAAAAAUGAUAUUAUAAUAAAUUAUACAAUUAUAUAUAUUAAACAAAAUAUUGAUAAAAUAUCUAUUAUUAGACUAGCUAACUGUAUGAAUUAUUUAAUUAAUAUGAAUGUAAAAAAAAAUAGUAUUUUUAAUUAUGCAGUAAUCAACGCUUUUAUACAAAAAUUAAAAAAUAACCAAGAUAUAGAUCUCUAUGCUAUUUGUUUAAUAGCGAAGUUCUUAAUAUAUAUCAAAAGUAAUAAUCUUCAAUUAAUUUAUUUGUUAUGUAAUAUAACAAAGAGUAAAAUAAACGAAAAAUGUAAUCCGUACGAUUUAUUUAAUUUAUUAAUAUCUUUUAUAAAUAUUCAAAAUGAGGGAAUAUUUUUUGAUGGGGUAACUACUUCAAACUGUCAGAGCGAGGUAUCCACUUGGGAAGACUAUAAACGAACACCCAGUAUGAACAAUCAUAGUGAAAAGUCUUAUCCCCAUUUGUACUGGAACUUGCACAAUUCACGCGAUUACUAUAAAAAGAAAGAUGAAAAUUGUGUUAACAAUUUUAAUAAAAUAAAUAUACAAAACAACAUGCCUAAUAACAUGCCUAAUAACAUGCCUAAUAACAUGCCUAAUAACAUGCCUAACAACAUGCCUAAUAACAUGCCUAAUAACAUGCCUAACAACAUGCCUAAUAACAUUAAAAACAAUAGUGAAAUUGUUGUUAACACUUAUCAACACUCAAAUGAUAACUUCAAACAUGUAGUAGCUAAAUUAAAUGAAAAUAAUAUUUAUAAUCUAUUAUUUUAUUACUUAAAAUGUGAUCAAAUAAAAAACGAGGAAAUUAUUUUAAUUAUUAAUAAUUUAACAAGUAUGAAAAAGUCGUAUUUUACUCACAAAAUGAAUUUAAAUAAACAAGAAAAAAUCUAUUUAUAUGAAACUUAUUUAAAUAAAAUUAAUUAUAAUGUAAAAAUCGAUGCAAAAACUAUAUCUCUCCUUUUUUUUAAUUUAAAAAAAUUAUUUUUUCUAAACGAAAUAACAAACACUUGUUUUUAUAAUAUUUUGCAUAAUGUAUAUAGUGCAUUUGGAUUAGCAGUUAAAUGUACACAACAAAAUUAUAAACAACUUGAAAAAAAACAAAAUCGACACAAUCAUCAGUAUACACAUCAGCAACAAUAUCAACCAAAUCAAUCGACGCAAAAGGAUAAAGUAUUUGUAAAUAAGGACGUGAAUAAUGGAAAUAGUAAAAAUCGUGGAGAUAAUAUCCGUAAUAACAUACGAUUACAUUUUAAUAUGCAAGAAAUUGGGAUGGUAUUACAAUUUUAUGAUUGUUUUAGUAACUUUAAAAAUAUGGAUUUUCCUUUUAAUAAAGUUUCUAACUAUAACGACAAUUUCGAUUCUUCUAUGCUUGACUCUUAUCAAAAACAAAAUACACAGCAUGUCACUAUGGAUAUUGCACAUACAGAUAUUAACUCUCCCUUCAACGAUGAAACUAUAUUAUUGUUUAAAAAAAAAAAUCAUGAAAAUCAGAUAGACCAAUUAAAAAGUCAAAUAAAGCUGAAUUCAACGAAAAACAAUUAUUACUAUAAUUUAUUUGUACCAUAUAUAAGUAUGCUAAAGAAAAGUAUAUUUUAUUUCUCAUUUUAUGAUAGUGAGGAAAAAGAAAAAAUGAGUGUCCUUAAUUUUUUGUACACUUUUAAAAGGGUUUAG
rnacentral:lncRNA from 1 species